UUACAGCCAUAUCACGUUGGAACACCGUUUCCUGUACGAUCACUGAACUUAAGCAACAUCAAACCAAGGCAGUACUUAGAUGGGUGACCGUUUCGGAAUACCAUGUGCAGUA